UAUACAUGCACUUCAACUGCCACCAUCUGCCUAUCUUCUCAGGAAGGCUUCUGACAGUGUCAGGAAGCAUCAUGCAGCAUCACAAAGGGCCAGCAGUUAUCUCAGCUGGAUGCACUUUGUCAGCAGCAAGAGAAAGACAACGGUGAAGAUCAGCUGGAGGCAAUGAGGGGGAUAGCAGGGACAGGCUGUGGCAGUGGAGUGAAAGGUGGCCCAAAGGGCAGACACGGCAAGGAGAGAGAUAGGCGAGGGGAACUGAAGCAGAGAAAGAAAAGGAGCACCAAAGUGGAGAGGAAAUGAGAUCUGUCCCGUUAAAAAUCUUUGCAAAAUUCCAUCAAACAGGAAGUAUUUCAGAGAUUCUUGUCAAUUU